AUAACAUCAGACUGCAAGUUGAAGGUCCUUGUAGUGUGACGUGAGCAAAACCCCUGCGUCCCGCCAGGAGGUCGCGACGUGUAAAGAAGAGAUAGAGAGAUGGAUAUGAUGUAACUCACUUGAUCUUUAUUGGGACGAGGUCUGCACCACUAUCGUGGUCCGGUCACGGUCCGCUGAAAUUGUCACGGAGAAGGAGACGUCGCCUCACAAUCUAGACAGAGAGGUCACCGCAGAAGUUGAGACUGAGAGCCAGCGAGUGGUCGGCAACGAAGCUGUCGGGGCGUCGGUAACACCGGCGAUGAUGUCCUCCCGACAGGGAACUCGCUUCACCUUAGUCCAACCCGAUGCCUCUUUUAUAUACUGUGCUAAGUCUCCUUCGAAAACACAUUACAUCACUUAUUUUUUCUCAUGCUUGCACAUCAAA